UCGGAGCCUGAGUCACAGACCAGGACCCAGUUGUGCUGGUUGCUGUACAAGCGCAGAACAAAGAACUGGCCCAGAGAACUUACACGCCCACCGGCUUUACGUGAGGAGCUUCAUUCAGUUCAACAGCGCGGCUCUUGAUCCACACCAGUGGUUCCUGCGGCUGUCAGGGUCUCCAAGGUGUUGAGCAGUGGGUACUUGUUGAUGACCUGCCGGAGGAUGCGCAGGGCUUCCCCCAGGCACUCGUGGGCUAGCGGCCGUUGAGACUCCAAGGGAUCUGCAACAGAGAGGGGUCAAAGCAGCGUUACAGCCCUGAGCCUGUAAAGUCAACGUUGUGCCGGCGAAGGGCGCUCGGAGGACAGGAGCACCGGGGUAAUAGCAAGGUGCAACUGAGAGCAGAAUUUGUCCCCGGCGAGAACAUGGGCCUACACGGGGCACUCUAAGCUGCGUUGCCACGGGCGUGGGACGGCUGCAUUGCCCCAGAGUGAACGGCACUGCUAGGAGGCUGUAUCCGGAAUGGAAGGCAGAGAGGCCAUGUGGGGCUGGGGGCAGGGACCGACAGGACUGGGAUCUGUGUCACAGCUGAGCAGGGAUGGACGAAGAGACGUAAUGGAAAGCUGGACCCACCAAAAUGGUGCAAUCCCCUACAACCAUUGCUGCAUCCCUUCAUGCACACACAGUUCCUGUCUCAACAGCUUCAGUCUUCCUCCAGAACCCACCCGGCGUCCCCCUGAGCCCGGUCUCUCUCCCUUCCUUCCCCCCCUCACGUGGCUUUAGAGCUGGUUGAAAAUCUCCUCCCAGAAUAUGUUCCCGCUUUGUUGAAAUCAAACUUUUUGGCGGGAACGCGUCAAUUUCCACUCAAUUUCAUUGCCCAGGGUGGGGUAAUCAAA